rnacentral:tRNA from 1 species
GCCGGGGUAGCCUAGCCAGGGAAGGCGGUGGACUCGAGAUCCACUGGGCGUUAAGCCCUCCGGGGUUCAAAUCCCCGCCCCGGCG